GCCGGGAUAGCUCAGUGUAGAG
rnacentral:tRNA from 1 species